GACGAACGCUGGCGGCGCGCUUAACACAUGCAAGUCGAGCGAGAACCAGGGCUUCGGCCCUGGGGACAGCGGCGAACGGGUGAGUAACACGUGGAUAACCUGCCCUCGGCACCGGGAUAGCCCGGGGAAACCCGGAUUAAUACCGGAUGGCCCUUCCGGCUUUCGAGCUGGUCGGAAAAGGUAGCUUCGGCCUCCGGCCGAGGCUGGGUCCGCGGCGAAUUAGCUAGUUGGUGAGGUAACGGCGCACCAAGGCGACGAUCCGUAGCUGGUCUGAGAGGACGAUCAGCCACACUGGGACUGAGACACGGCCCAGACUCCUACGGGAGGCAGCAGUGGGGAAUCUUGCGCAAUGGGCGAAAGCCUGACGCAGCGACGCCGCGUGAGGGAGGAAGGCCUUCGGGUUGUAAACCUCUUUUCUGAGAGAAGAAGCUACUCGGGUUAAUAGCCCAGAGGGUGACGGUAUCUCAGGAAUAAGCCCCGGCUAACUACGUGCCAGCCGCCGCAGUAAAAC
rnacentral:rRNA from 1 species